AGAGUAAUUGCAGGUGAUAUGAUAAUGGCAGUGUUAACCAAUAACAACAUUGCAUGGAUUUCUAAUAAUGUGCAGCCCUAUGUGGCAAAAUAAAGAACUGUUUGACAGAUGGCUGAAGGUAUCCUCCAUAUAAACAACUCUGACUGCAAAGUCCAAACCCCAUUUAUAAUGCAGCAUGUUUUGGGGAAACUGCAAAACAUGGGUCAAUCUUGCUGAUUCUGCUCUGCGGACUGACAAUGAAGUCACAAAGCAGAGGAGGCCUGAGGCUCUUCCAUCAACUUGCAGAUUGGAUGGGAUCUAGAUCUACUGGGGCCAUAAAACUUGGAGGGAAGCAACUAAAUGUGGAACACACAUAGGUAAUGUGGCCAGUCAGGUGGAUUAUGUUGCUCCCCUACAGGACGGGUUUUGACGGAAAGAUAAUCAGGAUGCCAGAGAGUCACGGCAGAGUAGGAGCAGUCUCCCGUUUCACUCCACUCCCCACUGCCCCUCCAUCCACAAUGGUGACGUCAGCCACCCAACUCUGCUGCAAACAGCACACCUGCUGGUUUCACAGUCCAUCUGGCCCAGCUCCAUCACUUGCUCAGCUCUCUAAGCACAAAUACAGGUCUGUUUACAACCUGGGCGCACACAGUCACAGCACUACAGAUUAUUUGGUGUCGGUUUCACCCGUGCUCAUUGGGGAGAAGAGGGACAAUUACGAUAUAACCUGUUGACAACAAAUAUUGCAGUGACAAGACUCAUUUAUAUCAGUGUUUCAUUGUUUGACAGCUACAAUGGUCUAUUUGUGAUGUGAAGAGUGUCCCCAAAGGCUUAUUUUCCCAUUUCUUACACCUGAAAAGCAUCCACAAGCGUAAGCACUUUGCUAGAGAUUGAAGUAACCAGCCCUCUCACCUGCUUUUUUGUCUAAUCAGCAUGAACAUAAACCUGCAUAAUUAUCAAAGUAAAGCUGUCAGAGACAAAAGGCUGCGGGAAGCAUUCUAGAAGAGUGCUGGCUUGUUUUAAGUUUCAAAGCAGUGGGCCACCUUUGACAAAAUCCAGUUUGUUCUACUUGGCCAUAUUAAAAACAAAUACAUGAAUAAAUAAAUGUGAUACCUACAC